UAUUAGCUCCAUUUAUUAUGCACGGCUGAAUAGAAAUACAUAUAUCUUUUUAACAAUGUUUCCUCUUCAGUCUCUCUUUCUUCAUUAUUCUAACAAAAUAAUCUUUAUCAAUCAACAUCAAAAAGUGGUUUCAAAAAGUGUAAAAGGUUUUGAAAAAUAUUUUUGAAGAUUCUAAAAAAACAAUCUUCCAUCCGUUUCCAAAAAUGUAAAAGUUUCUCAUUUGUCCAUAAUCCGCCACAUGAAGAUUCUUCCUCUUUCCAGCUGCAAAGUUUCCUCGAAAUAGUCAGUGAACAGAUUCUUAUUCCCAAAAAGAUUUUCGCAAUGUUUCCUUCCUAAGUUGAUUAAGGUUGGCUUAUUUCAUUGCUAUUUUUUUGGGUUUUACAUAUUGCAACUCCCAAGAUUGUUGAAGAUUGGAACAUUUUUAUUUUUAUUUUUAAGACAUGGUUGAAAGUUAUUGUAGCAUUCAUAUUUUCAGUUUUGUUUUUGUUUGUAAUGCUACCAUUUAAUGGAUGUAACGUCUAAUUGAAGAGGAAGUAAUUAAGAGGGCUAGAAGGGGGUUACAAACAACACAGCCGUUAGAUGUCUUUGGCUAGGAUGAGACUGAGAUGGUCGGAUCACAUGUUUGUGUCUCAAAGUGUUAUCCGUCCGUCCAAGGCUCAAAACCCCAUCCUGUUUUGUAUUAUAGAUGUUGGUGUUUAUGUUACCAAAAGUUUCUUUAUUCCAUCUGUUGAGAUUAUGUUUAACUGAUUUAC